rnacentral:rRNA from 1 species
UACGGAGGAUGCGAGCGUUAUCCGGAUUUAUUGGGUUUAAAGGGUGCGCAGGCGGAUUUUUAAGUCAGCGGUCAAAUCGUGGGGCUCAACCCCAUCCAGCCGUUGAAACUGGGGAUCUAGAGUGUGCGAGAGGUAUGCGGAAUGCGUGGUGUAGCGGUGAAAUGCAUAGAUAUCACGCAGAACCCCGAUUGCGAAGGCAGCAUACCGGUGCACAACUGACGCCCAGGCACGAAAGCGUGGGUAUCGAACAGG